rnacentral:misc_RNA from 1 species
AUUAUACCAUAAAAUCUAAUAAAUUUAAACCUCUUUAUUUCAGGUUUUACAAUGUAAAAAUAAAUAGAAGUGCAUUUCUUGAAUUCAAUGUUACAAAUCAAACAAUCAUUAAUGGCCAAAAAUGAAAGAAUUACAUUUCUGGGUAAAUUAAAAUUACUAGUUACCAAUUUAAUAAGCCUUACUGUUGUCUACCCUCUUGGAACUCGAGAAGAUCGUCCAACAAUUUGUUAUCCAAAUACUCAAACUCUAUUACUUCCUGCCCUCCAGAAGAACCCACGAGGCCAUAACUGGUAGGAGGAGCAACAGAGAACGAGGAGGGCAGCGACGACGAAGAAGAAGAGGGAGCAGAUGACGGCCGAGAAGUAUGGCUAUGGUAUUGGUAUUCAUUUGGGAAGUUAAGAAUGGCUAAAUGACCACGGAAGGCAAAAGCAGCUCUGUCAUAAGCUCUGGCAGCCUCCUCCGCCGUCUCAAAUGU